GCAUCGAUGAAGAACGCAGCGAAAUGCGAUAAGUAAUGUGAAUUGCAGAAUUCAGUGAAUCAUCGAAUCUUUGAACGCACAUUGCGCCCGCCAGAAUUCUGGCGGGCAUGCCUGUUCGAGCGUCAUUUCAACCCUCGAGCUCCCCUUUCGGGGGGAGCCCGGCGUUGGGGACCCGGCGCUAACAACGCCGGCCCCGAAAUGGAGUGGCGGCCCGUCCGCGGCGACCUCUGCGUAGUAACAACCACUCGCACCGGGACCCGGGCGCGGCCACGCCGUAAAACACCCCACCUUCCGAAUGUUGACCUCGAAUCAGGUAGGAAUACCCGCUGAACUUAAGCAUAUCAAUAAGCGGAGGAA
rnacentral:rRNA from 1 species